GCCAGCAGCCAUAUCACCCUGCAGCUCUCAACUGGCUACCCACUGAAGCUAAGCAGGGUUGAGCUUGUUCAGUACCUGGAUGGGAGUCUUCCUGAGAAGCUAUGUUUGCAGCUGGAA
rnacentral:rRNA from 1 species